rnacentral:rRNA from 1 species
CCUACGUUCUUCCGCCGUUUUUGCUAUUGCCCCAUGGGGGGAACCCUGAUGCAGCGACGCCGCGUGGGUGAAGGAGCGUUUCGGCGCGUAAAGCCCUAUCGGCAGGGAAGAAGGAGGACGGUACCUGACUAAGAAGCCCCGGCUAACUACGUGCCAGCAGCCGCGGUAAUACGUAGGGGGCAAGCGUUAUCCGGAUUUACUGGGUGUAAUGGGGGCGCAGACGGCAGCGCAAGCCAGGAGUGAAGGCCCGGGGCCCAACCCCGGGACUGCUCUUGGAACUGCGCGGCUGGAGUGCAGGAGGGGCAGGCGGAAUUCCUGGUGUAGCGGUGAAAUGCGUAGAUAUCAGGAGGAACACCGGUGGCGAAGGCGGCCUGCUGGACUGCGACUGACGUUGAGGCCCGAAAGCGUGGGGAGCAAACAGGAUUAGAUACCCUGGUAGUC